rnacentral:sRNA from 1 species
CCUGACUCAGGAGAAAAGGCUGUCCCUCCGGAAUGCGUUCCGGAGGGACAGCCUUUGUUCGUCU